CUCGUAGGCGGUUCGUCGCGUCCGGUGUGAAAGUCCAUCGCUUAACGGUGGAUCCGCGCCGGGUACGGGCGGGCUUGAGUGCGGCAGGGGAGACUGGAAUUCCCGGUGUAACGGUGGAAUGUGUAGAUAUCGGGAAGAACACCAAUGGCGAAGGCAGGUCUCUGGGCCGUCACUGACGCUGAGGAGCGAAAGCGUGGGGAGCGAAACA
rnacentral:rRNA from 1 species